AUUGAACGCUGGCGGCACGCCUAACACAUGCAAGUCGAGCGGUAACAUGGUUAGUAGCAAUACUAACUGAUGACGAGCGGCGGACGGGUGAGGAACACGUAGGAACCUGCCCUCGAGUGGGGGACAACCAGGGGAAACUCUGGCUAAUACCGCAUGAACUCGAGAGAGCAAAGCUGCCCGCAAGGGUGGCGUUCGGGGAGGGGCCUGCGUCCGAUUAGCUAGUUGGUGGGGUAAGAGCCUACCAAGGCGAUGAUCGGUAACUGGUCUGAGAGGACGGCCAGUCACACUGGGACUGAGACACGGCCCAGACUCCUACGGGAGGCAGCAGUGGGGAAUAUUGGACAAUGGGGGCAACCCUGAUCCAGCGAUGCCGCGUGAGUGAAGAAGGCCUUCGGGUCGUAAAGCUCUUUAGGCCGGGACGAAGUGCAUGGGAGGAAAUGCCUGUGUGUUGACGGUACCGGCAGAAUAAGCACCGGCAAACUCUGUGCCAGCAGCCGCCGUAA
rnacentral:rRNA from 1 species